CUGGCGGCGUGCUUUCACACAUGCAAGUCGAGCGGAAAGGCCCUUUCGGGGGUACUCGAGCGGCGAACGGGUGAGUAACACGUGAGUAAUCUGCCCUGCGCUCUGGGAUAGCCACCGGAAACGGUGAUUAAUACCGGAUAGGACCACUUCACGCAUGUGAUGGUGGUGGAAAGUUUUUUCGGCGCAGGAUGUGCUCGCGGCCUAUCAGCUUGUUGGUGAGGUAACGGCUCACCAAGGCUUUGACGGGUAACCGGCCUGAGAGGGUGACCGGUCACACUGGGACUGAGACACGGCCCAGACUCCUACGGGAGGCAGCAGUGGGGAAUAUUGGACAAUGGGCGGAAGCCUGAUCCAGCAACGCCGCGUGAGGGAUGACGGCCUUCGGGUUGUAAACCUCUUUCAGUACCGACGAAGCGAAAGUGACGGUAGGUACAGAAGAAGGACCGGCCAACUACGUGCCAGCAGCCGCGGUAAUACGUAGGGUCCGAGCGUUGUCCGGAAUUAUUGGGCGUAAAGGGCUCGUAGGCGGUUUGUCGCGUCGGGAGUGAAAACACCGGGCUUAACUCGGUGCUUGCUUUCGAUACGGGCAGACUAGAGGUAUGCAGGGGAGAAUGGAAUUCCUGGUGUAGCGGUGAAAUGCGCAGAUAUCAGGAGGAACACCGGUGGCGAAGGCGGUUCUCUGGGCAUUACCUGACGCUGAGGAGCGAAAGUGUG
rnacentral:rRNA from 1 species